UACGAAGGGUGCAAACGUUGCUCGGAAUCAUUGGGCGUAAAGCGCACGUAGGCGGCCUGAUAAGUCGGGUGUGAAAGCCCUGGGCUCAACCCAGGAAGUGCACUCGAAACUGUCAGGCUUGAAUAUGGAAGAGGGUCGCGGAAUUCCCGGUGUAGAGGUGAAAUUCGUAGAUAUCGGGAGGAACACCGGUGGCGAAGGCGGGUCUCUGGGCCGAUACUGACGCUGAGGAGCGAAAGCGUGGGGAGCGAACAGG
rnacentral:rRNA from 1 species